CCUACGGGCGGCAGCAGUAGGGAAUUUUGCGCAAUGGGCGAGAGCCUGACGCAGCAACGCCGCGUGAACGAGACGGCCUUCGAGGGGUAUAGUUCUGUCAGUUGGGACGAAAAAUGACGGUACCCACAGAGUAAGCAGCGGCAAACUCCGUGCCAGCCGCCGCGGUAAUACGGCGGGUGCAAGGGUUGUCCGGAAUCAUUGGGCGUAAAGCGUUCGUAGGCGGCCUGUAAAGUCAGUUGUUAAGGCGCAGGGUCAACCUGUGAAUGGCCCUUGAUACUUGCAGGCUGGAGUGGGGUAGAGGUAAAGGGAAUUCCUGGUGUAGCGGUGAAAUGCUUAGAUAUCAGGAGGAACAUCGGUGGCGUAAGCGCUUUACUGGGCCGUAAUUGACGCUGAGGAACGAAAGCCAGGGUAGCAAAUGGGAUUAGAUACCCCAGUAGUC
rnacentral:rRNA from 1 species